GGAAGCAGGAUGGGAAGAAGUGUAAUCAAGAUAGUUGUGGGAGUCAGUGGGUUUGUAAUAGACGUCCGUCAAUAGUCUAUUUCCUGUGAUGGAGACUGUGAGAUCAUUAAAGGGGAGGGAGAUGAUGAUAGUCCAUGUAAAUUUG